rnacentral:rRNA from 1 species
CAGCAGCCGCGGUAAUUCGGAGGGUGCAAGCGUUAUCCGGAUUCACUGGGUUUAAAGGGUGCGUAGGUGGGCAGGUAAGUCAGUGGUGAAAUCUCCGGGCUUAACCCGGAAACUGCCAUUGAUACUAUCUGUCUUGAAUAUCGUGGAGGUGAGCGGAAUAUGUCAUGUAGCGGUGAAAUGCUUAGAUAUGACAUAGAACACCAAUUGCGAAGGCAGCUCACUACGCGAAUAUUGACACUGAGGCACGAAAGCGUGGGGAUCAAACAGGAUUAGAUACCCUGGUAGUCACGCCCUAAACGAUGGAUACUCGACAUACGCGAUACACAGUGUGUGUCUGAGCGAAAGCAUUAAGUAUCCCACCUGGGAAGUACGACCGCAAGGCUGAAACUCAAAGGAAUUGACGG